rnacentral:rRNA from 1 species
UCCGGUUGAUCCUGCCGGAGGCUACCGCUAUUGGAGUUCGAUUAAGCCAUGCGAGUCGCGAGUCUUAGGGACUCGGCGUACCGCUCAGUAACACGUGGGUAACCUGCCCUAUGCUGGGGGAUAACCUCGGGAAACUGAGAAUAAUACCCCAUAGUUCACCACGCCUGGAACGGUGGGUGGAUGAAAGCUCCGGCGGCAUAGGAUGGGCCUGCGGCGUAUCAGGUUGUAGGGGGUGUAAUGUACCCUCUAGCCAUCUACGCGUACGGGUGUUGGGAGACAUCGCCCGGAGAUGGAUUCUGAGACACGAAUCCAGACCCUACGGGGUGCAGCAGGCGCGAAAACUUGGCAAUGCGAGCAAUCGUGACCAGGGAACUCCAAGUGCAUCGGGUAAGACCGAUGCUUUUCUUGACUCUUCAAAGGUCUUGGAAUAAGGGGUGGGUAAGGACGGUGCCAGCCGCCGCGGUAAUACCGGCGCCUCAAGUGGUAGUCGCUUUUAUUGGGCCUAAAACGUCCGUAGCCGGUUUGGUACAUUCGUGGGUAAAUCAAGGCGCUCAACGUCUUGAAUUCUGCGAGCACGGCCAGACUUGGGACCGGGUGAGGUGUGGGGUACUCUCAGGGUAGGGGUAAAAUCCUGUCAUCCUGAGAGGACCACCUGUUGCGAAGGCGCCACACUAGAACGGAUCCGACGGUCAGGGACGAAGCCUAGGGGCACGAACCGGAUUAGAUACCCGGGUAGUCCUAGGUGUAAACGCUGUGGACUUGAUGUUGGGAGUGCUCCGAGCACCCUCAGUGUCGAAGCGAAGGUGAUAAGUCCACUGCCUGGGGAGUACGGUCGCAAGGCUGAAACUUAAAGGAAUUGGCGGGGGAGCACUGCAACCUGAGGAUUGUGCGGUUUAAUUGGAUUCAACGCC